UACGAAGGGGGCUAGCGUUGUUCGGAAUUACUGGGCGUAAAGCGCGCGCAGGCGGUUCUUCAAGUCAGUGGUGAAAGCCCGGAGCUCAACUCCGGAAUUGCCAUUGAAACUGUGGAACUUGAGGAUGAGAGAGGUGAGUGGAAUUCCCAGUGUAGAGGUGAAAUUCGUAGAUAUUGGGAAGAACACCGGUGGCGAAGGCGGGUCUCUGGGCCGAAACUGACGCUGAGGAGCGAAAGCGUGGGGAGCAAACAGG
rnacentral:rRNA from 1 species